rnacentral:sRNA from 1 species
UUCUGUGCCUGUUUCUUUCUCCCUGCACUGGUUUCUGUCUCUGUGGCCAAGGCCCUCUCCUCAUCCUUGGCUCCUCACCAGGUGACAGUGGGAACUGGAUCGAGAUCGCCUAUGGCACCAGCUCAGGGGGCGUGCGGGUCAUCGUGCAGCACCCGGAGACUGUGGGCUCGGGGCCUCAGCUCUUCCAGACCUUCACUGUGCACCGCAGCCCCGUCACCAAGAUCAUGCUGUCGGAGAAGCACCUCAUCUCAGUCUGUGCCGACAACAACCACGUGCGGACAUGGUCUGUGACUCGCUUCCGCGGCAUGAUUUCCACCCAGCCCGGCUCCACCCCACUCGCUUCCUUCAAGAUCCUGGCUUUGGAGUCGGCAGAUGGGCAUGGCGGCUGCAGUGCUGGCAAUGACAUUGGCCCCUAUGGCGAGCGGGACGACCAGCAAGUGUUCAUCCAGAAGGUGGUGCCCAGCGCCAGCCAGCUCUUCGUGCGUCUCUCAUCUACUGGGCAGCGGGUGUGCUCCGUGCGCUCCGUGGACGGCUCACCCACGACGGCCUUCACAGUGCUGGAGUGUGAGGGCUCCCGGCGGCUCGGCUCUCGGCCCCGGCGCUACCUGCUCACCGGCCAGGCCAACGGCAGCUUGGCCAUGUGGGACCUAACCACUGCCAUGGACGGCCUCGGCCAGGCCCCUGCAGGUGGCCUGACGGAGCAAGAGCUGAUGGAACAGCUGGAACACUGUGAGCUGGCCCCACCGGCUCCCUCAGCUCCC